rnacentral:rRNA from 1 species
AGUGAACGCUGGCGGUAGGCCUAACACAUGCAAGUCGAACGGCAGCACAGUAAGAGCUUGCUCUUACGGGUGGCGAGUGGCGGACGGGUGAGGAAUACUUCGGAAUCUACUUUUUCGCGGGGGAUAACGUAGGGAAACUUACGCUAAUACCGCAUACGACCUACGGGUGAAAGCAGUGGAUCUUCGGACCUUGCGCGAUUGAAUGAGCCGAUGUCGGAUUAGCUAGUUGGCGGGGUAAAGGCUCACCAAGGCGACGAUCCGUAGCUGGUCUGAGAGGAUGAUCAGCCACACUGGAACUGGAACACGGUCCAGACUCCUACGGGAGGCGGCAGUGGGGAAUAUGGGACAAUGGGCGCAAGCCUGAUCCAGCCAUACCGCGUGGGUGAAGACAACCUUCGGGUUGUAAAGCCCUUUUGUUGGGAAAGAAAAGCAGCAGGUUAAUACCCCGCUGUUCUGACGGUACCCAAAGAAUAAGCACCGGCUAACUUCGUG